AUUGAACGCUGGCGGCAUGCUUUACACAUGCCAGUCGAACGGUAACAGGCCUUCGGGUGCUGACGAGUGGCGAACGGGUGAGUAAUGCAUCGGAACGUGCCCAGAGGUGGGGGAUAACGCAGCGAAAGCUGUGCUAAUACCGCAUGUGAUCUGAGGAUGAAAGCGGGGGACCAGGCAGCAAUGUUUGGCCUCGCGCCUUUGGAGCGGCCGAUGUCAGAUUAGGUAGUUGGUGGGGUAAAGGCCUACCAAGCCGACGAUCUGUAGCUGGUCUGAGAGGACGACCAGCCACACUGGGACUGAGACACGGCCCAGACUCCUACGGGAGGCAGCAGUGGGGAAUUUUGGACAAUGGGCGCAAGCCUGAUCCAGCAAUGCCGCGUGCGGGAAGAAGGCCUUCGGGUUGUAAACCGCUUUUGUACGGAACGAAAAGGCUCUGGCUAAUACCUGGGGAUGAUGACGGUACCGUAAGAAUAAGCACCGGCUAACUACGUG
rnacentral:rRNA from 1 species